ACUACCAGAAGCUGUCUGCUGGGGCUGGCCCAUAAAAGGUGCUCUAGGACACUCCCGAGCUAUGUGUCCCUCCUGUCCGCAUCUGAAACAUGUAUUAGUCCCAGCUCGACACACUCCCCUGUGCGGCCUUCCACACCUCUGGCAUUCUGUACCAUCUGAGCCUGAACUCGAGCCACCGCCAAAACCCAGACCGGAUUUCAACUUAUUCCAAAACUUAUUCUUCUUCGGCUUCUUGGUGGUGUUAUCCCACCUCUUCUUACUUGAGCUCUGAGAAGAGAGACCUGGCCCUCCUCUGCCUGGGGUCUUAACCCCUGAAGACUGGGUCACUGACUGUUUCACUGACCCCUCAACUAUAGCAC
rnacentral:lncRNA from 1 species